rnacentral:misc_RNA from 1 species
AAGUCGUAACAAGGUAACCGUAGGUGAACCUGCGGUUGGAUCAUUACCAAUUCGUUCAUUUUUCGUUCACAAUGCGCUUUUCACAAAUGAUUGGCGCGUGAAUAGAAAAUAUGAAUCGACAAAAUGUGCACCUGUAAUUGUACGUUGGCGGUUGUCCAGUGCUUUGUGCUGGACUUUGCAUUAAUUUGCAAAGGCCGUCAAUUGUGUUUUUUAACAAACGCUUUAAAAAGUCAUUUCCAAGUUUUUAUUUUAUACUUCAAUCUUUCUUAAUUGAAACCAAGAACAACUAUUAACAAUGGAUCUCUUGGCUCUC